rnacentral:misc_RNA from 1 species
UGGCUUUUGUUAAUGAACAGUUUAGAUUGCAUCUAUAGGCCAUCAUAUCAUGGUUUAUAACAAACUGUGUCAUACACGGGAUAGGUUAAACAACCGUUUCUGAUGAUCUCAUUCAUUCAUGUUAUUUGUAGUUCUCUUUUUAAAUGAAUGUAACGAUGCAGCAACUAGUGGCAUUGAUCAUGUAUCUACAUGUAAAAUGUGUACAAGUUUCUUGAGAUACACCUUCAGAUGUUGCAGGGGCAAUUUUUUGUUUUAUUGAUCUGCUCACAUUAUACUUUGCAAUAGGAGGAAGGCUUAAAAAUUCAUUACUUUUUGUUCAUGACAGAAAAACCUUUAACAUAUACAUGUAUGUUCGCAUUAUAUGCCACGUUGUGGUGAUGACAUUUUAUUAACAAAUGUUGCAUACAGAUCCAUGUAAAACUUUUCUUAUUUAUUGAAAUCUUGCAACUUUGCCUUGGUUUGGGAUUUGGAGAUGCAAUGUAGACCAGUGUCUGUUGGAUAUCUUUUUCUUCUGUGAUCAUAACCUUUGCUUUCUGAGAGUUUAUGAAUUGGUGUAACUGAAUUUGUAAUUCAGCAGGUGGAGUUUACAUUUUUGCUAUGGACAUUUUUUAUACAGAUUGUUAGAAAAUAUUAUGGGUUUUUUUUUAAUGUAUGUGAUUUUACAUUGAACAAUAGAUAGUAGCUAAGAAAAAAAAAUGACUGAUUGGAAUAUUAUUUAUAAAAUUCAAUUUGCAAGAUCAAUUCUACUAUGUACUCACCAAACAUCAUAAACUGCAGUUACUUUUCAACUUUAAUGUUUACAAAGAUGGACGUUGUUGUGUACCGGUAAUUGAAGUCUGAUAUGAAAUAUUGUGUAAAUGUUUUGAAGGAUAGGCAAUAUAUGGUAACUUUAUUUCCAGAUAGUCCUGGGUAUUUAAGCACAUUCUUAUGUUUGGAUCGAGUGCUUCUUGACAGUGAUGAAUGUUGUAAAUUAUUUUCUUAAAUAAAAUUAUGUAUAUUCCC